GGGGGUAUAGAUCAGUGGUAGAGCAUGUGCAUAGCACGCGUGAGGUCCUGGGUUCAAUCCCCAGUACCUACC
rnacentral:tRNA from 1 species